UACGUAGGGGCAAGCGUUGUCCGGAAUUACUGGGCGUAAAGCGCACGCAGGCUGAAUUAUAAGUCGGUAGUCGAAGGCGGAGGCUUAACUUCCGUUUAUCUAUCGAAACUGUAAAUCUAGAGUAUGUGAGAGGGAAGUGGAAUUCCUGGUGUAGCGGUGAAAUGCGCAGAUAUCAGGAGGAACACCAAUGGCGAAGGCAGGUCUCUGGGCAGUUACUGACGCUGAGGAGCGAAAGCAUGGGUAGCGAACAGGAUUAGAUACCCCU
rnacentral:rRNA from 1 species